CCAAAGGCUCUCUUCAGAGCCAUCAUUUACCCUGGCAAACAGUGG
rfam:Pan troglodytes isolate Yerkes chimp pedigree #C0471 (Clint) chromosome 13, whole genome shotgun sequence.